rnacentral:rRNA from 1 species
GAUGAACGCUGGCGGCGUGCCUAAUACAUGCAAGUCGAGCGAACAGACGAGGAGCUUGCUCCUCUGACGUUAGCGGCGGACGGGUGAGUAACACGUGGAUAACCUACCUAUAAGACUGGGAUAACUUCGGGAAACCGGAGCUAAUACCGGAUAAUAUAUUGAACCGCAUGGUUCAAUAGUGAAAGACGGUUUUGCUGUCACUUAUAGAUGGAUCCGCGCCGCAUUAGCUAGUUGGUAAGGUAACGGCUUACCAAGGCGACGAUGCGUAGCCGACCUGAGAGGGUGAUCGGCCACACUGGAACUGAGACACGGUCCAGACUCCUACGAGAGGCAGCAGUAGGGAAUCUUCCGCGAUGGACGAAAGCAUGACGGAGCAACGCCGCGUGAGUGAUGAAGGUCUUCGGAUCGUAAAACUCUGUUAUUAGGGAAGAACAAAUGUGUAAGUAACUAUGCACGUCUUGACGGUACCUAAUCAGAAAGCCACGGCUAACUACGUG